AAGGGUGAACGGGGCGUCUAAACAUUAUCAUCACGACGGUGGAAACAUUACCACCAAACGUCUGGGGUCGUUGUCCAAUGAGCGCCCAGAUCGUUACCGUAGAU
rnacentral:sRNA from 10 species